AUUAUUGCAAGUAGCGACUGCUUCCCAAGCAGUAGGCGGCGGGUUCGAGUCCCGUAUCCUGCUCCA
rnacentral:tRNA from 2 species